rnacentral:rRNA from 1 species
UUGAACGCUGGCGGCAUGCCUUACACAUGCAAAGUCGAACGGUAGAGGGGCAACCCUUGAGAGUGGCGAACGGGUGAGUAAUAUAUUCGGAACGUGCCCAGUCGUGGGGGAUAACGCAGCGAAAGCUGCGCUAAUACCGCAUACGAUCUAUGGAUGAAAGCGGGGGAUCGCAAGACCUCGCGCGAUUGGAGCGGCCGAUAUCAGAUUAGGUAGUUGGUGGGGUAAAAG